rnacentral:rRNA from 1 species
GGACUCGGGGGGAAGUAUGCUCGCAAGUGUGAAACUUAAAGAAAUUGACGGAAGGGCACCACCAGGCGUGGAGCCUGCGGCUCAAUUCGACUCAACACGGGAAAACUUACCAGGUCCAGACAUAGUAAGGAUUGACAGAUUGAAGAUCUUUCUUGAUUCUAUGGGUAGUGGUGCAUGGCCGUUCUUAGUUGGUGGAGUGAUUUGUCUGGUUAAUUCCGUUAACGAACGAGACCUCGGCCUACUAACUAGUAGAGCUUAUUUGCUUUGUUGUUUGGUUUCGAUCAGAUGACAUAAUGGAUAAAUCAAGGACCUUGUGUCCGUUUUACUUCUUAGAGGGACUCUCUGUGCUUAACAGAGGGAAGUUUGAGGCAAUAACAGGUCUGUGAUGCCCUUAGAUGUUCUGGGCUGCARGCGCGCUACAAUGAUACAUGCAGCGAGUCCUAUCCCUAUGCCGAAAGGCUCGGGAAAUCUUAUGAAAAUGUAUCGUGAUUGGGAUAGAUGAUUGCAAUUAUUCAUCUUGAACGAGGAAUGCCUAGUAAACGCAAGUCAUCAACUUGCAUUGAUUACGUCCCUGCCCUUUGUACACACCGCCCGUCGCUUCUACCGAUGGAAUGAUUCGGUGAAUGCUGUGGAUUGAGAAUAUUGCUUCGCAGCAUGUCUCUCAAGAAGCAGUAUGAACCAAAUUAUUUAGAGGAAGGACAAGUCGUAACAAGG